rnacentral:rRNA from 1 species
CCUACGGGAGGCAGCAGUGAGGAAUAUUGGUCAAUGGGCGAGAGUCUGAACCAGCCAAGUAGCGUGAAGGAUGACUGCCCUAUGGGUUGUAAACUUCUUUUAUCUGGGAAUAAAAUGUUCCACGUGUGGGAUUUCGUAUGUACCAUAUGAAUAAGGAUCGGCUAACUCCGUGCCAGCAGCCGCGGUAAUACGGAGGAUCCGAGCGUUAUCCGGAUUUAUUGGGUUUAAAGGGGGCGUAGGUGGAUUGUUAAGUCAGGUGUGAAAGUUUGCGGCUCAACCGUAAAAUUGCAGUUGAAACUGGCAGUCUAGAGUACAGUAGAGGUGGGCGGAAUGCGUGGUGUAGCGGUGAAAUGCUUAGAUAUCACGAAGAACUCCGAUUGCGAAGGCAGCUCACUGGACUGCAACUGACACUGAGGCACGAAAGUGUGGGUAUCAAACAGGAUUAGAUACCCCUGUAGUC